rnacentral:rRNA from 1 species
UACGAAGGGGACUAGCGUUGUUCGGAAUCACUGGGCGUAAAGCGCACGUAGGCGGAUGUGUCAGUCAGGGGUGAAAUCCCGGGGCUCAACCUCGGAACUGCCUUUGAUACAGCACGUCUCGAGUCCGGAAGAGGUGGGUGGAAUUCCUAGUGUAGAGGUGAAAUUCGUAGAUAUUAGGAAGAACACCGGUGGCGAAGGCGGCUUACUGGUCCGGUUCUGACGCUGAGGCGCGAAAGCGUGGGGAGCAAACAGG